AACGACGGGUAACGGGGAAUCAGGGUUCGAUUCCGGAGAGGGAGCCCGAGAAACGGCUACCACUUCCAAGGAAGGCAGCAGGCGCGCAACUUACCCUAAUCUCGAUUCGAGGAGGUAGUGACAAGAAAUACCGAUGCGGGACCCUACGGGUGCCGCGUUCGGAAUGAGUACGAUUCGAACCACCUAACGAGGAACGAUCGGAGGGCAAGUCUGGUGCCAGCAGCCGCGGUAAUUCCAGCUCCAAUAGCGUACGUUAAAGUUGCUGCAGUUAAAAAGCUCGUAGUUGAACGUUCGGGUUCCGCGGGACGGGGCCGCCCCGCGAGGGACGGCGCCGCCCCGGGGCUCGUGAUAUCUCAUCUCGCCGCCCCGUCGCGAGGCGGACGGAGGGAUGGAUGAGGUUACCUGGAAAAAAUCGGGGCGAUCUAGGCGGGCGAACCUCGCCAACGAACGAUCGGACAUGGG
rnacentral:rRNA from 1 species